UUAAGGAGGGGAGGAUGUAAGGUACCGGACUUCGAAAAUCAUGAGGUUACGGUGUACGUUCGAUUGGAAAGCCAUUUAAAUGGUUCCGGUGAGGCUGCGGUGGAAUGUAGCAUACCGGAUCUUUAAUAUAAAAGUGAAAAUAAAUAAAAAUAGUGUGAGAUACUAUUUUUAUUGGAUUUAGAGAAGUAAAACAUAAGUCAGAAGUGACUUGUGCUGAAAUCGGGAUGAAAACAGAAAAUCUAGAAUUUUCUGUUGGAAACGGGACAGAAAAAUUAACAGAAAAUGCACAGUCUCAGAAAAUUAUGAAAAUUGGAGAAUAAGUCAGAAAUAUUUUUAUGAGGCUAGAUUUAAGGUUUCAUAUUUUUCUGACACCCGUAGAGUGAGAAUAAAAUCCGACAGUCAUCUGAUAAAGAUUACAGUUCGGUACAGCUUUCGGUAACCAAACGGGGUCGAAACUGAAAUAUUAAAAUUUCUUUGGACUCUUUAAGUAAAAUCGAAUAUGACUGUCAAAUUUGACCUCAAACGGAUACUCUGAGAGCUCCGGCGAAAGAUAUCAGAUUUGGAGCUGCCUGAUGUGAAUAGUGUAUGCUACUAUUGAGGGUUGACUAUAAGUAGAAGCUACUAGGCUUCUCCCUCUCCAUCAGCCGACCACCAUCACCACUACCAUACGUUCAUGGUGAAGUGAGAGAAACUCUCCCUUUUCUCUCUCUAAAUAUCUCUCUCNGCGAAAGAUAUCAGAUUUGGAGCUGCCUGAUGUGAAUAGUGUAUGCUACUAUUGAGGGUUGACUAUAAGUAGAAGCUACUAGGCUUCUCCCUCUCCAUCAGCCGACCACCAUCACCACUACCAUACGUUCAUGGUGAAGUGAGAGAAACUCUCCCUUUUCUCUCUCUAAAUAUCUCUCUCAUCUCUCUAUAUUUCUCGCCCAAAUUCGCGACGUUGGUGGAG
rnacentral:lncRNA from 1 species